CUAAAGUUUGUUUUUGGGGCAAUGAGGACAUUACCAAGCUUAUUUGAUAUACUAAUCUAAGUUGCUUAUUUGAUGAUUGCUUUCUUAAAAGUUCCUUGACUAUGAUAUACUAAUUCACUCUAUCAUGUGAAAUUUUAGGUGCAGAACUCUCUUUGCUUGUGGACAAUCAAAGCUUUCCAAAGAGCUUGCCAGGUGAUUUGGAGGGUGAAUAAUCAAGAGAAACUUUGCUUACUAUCCAUAUAUUUGAACACAACAAUAUUCCUCGUGUAUUUAGGCCUUUUCUGCAUGAUACAACCUUUAUAUUAACAUCCUUUUCUUAUUGAUUUCCAAAGUUAUCUUAUCAAGUCAAAUUUGAUAUACAACUAUCGUUUCUCUACUUUUUUCUUUUUCAUGAGAAUUAACAGCCAACGCCAUUCAUCCUGGAGCAAUUGUUACCGAUCUACUAUGUUUUGUAAUAUCCCGAUUUGUACCAAAAGAAUUAAAAAAAAAAAGGUCAGUGACGUCAGCAUAGGACAUUAACAUGAUAUCAGCAGAAGGUCAGCAUGAUGUCAACGUGACAGUACGGUCAACGACGGAGCUUAGACCAUUCUUGAUGGCGGGAGCGUGCAGAGCUAUGCGGUUGCAAGAGGCAUCCCUAUGUCAAGUCUUUUCCUUUUAUGUUGUUCUUAAUAUUAUUUUAAUGUUAUUUAUCUCGAAACUCGUGUUAUUUUGUAACUGCUUUUGAUGUUGACGCCGUAGAAUAUUUUGUACUUUAAAUUAAUAUUAUGUCAGUUUUAAAUGCAUGUUUGAUUUUUCU